ACUGGGCUUAGAGUCACAUAAGAGACAGAGCAAGUAAAAUAUUACGCUACAGUGCUACUGGCCCAUAAUCAGGCAACUGCAGAGUCUUAGGGGGUUAUCUAAUGUAGUCUUGGGGUGGCUGGAUAGACUUCCCAAAGAAGGUGAUGCCGAAGCUGAGGUCGGAAAUUACGAAGAUCAGCUAUCAUCUACUUGUUUCCAAAGUUAUUUGGGUCAGCAUUUUCCUCCACCCACCACUUAAAACUGAUUUGUUUCAUACAUUUGAAAUGUAUGAAAAGCCAGAAAUCCAGGACCCACCCUGGCCUGCUCCCUUUUUCUCACCUACUGUGUUAAGGAUAAGUCAAUUGAGCUUCACUUCUCUAAUUGAAAUCACCGUGCUGAUGGAGUCUGUCUGUGGAAAUGAAAGGUGGCUACCAUAAUCUGUUGGGAGUUGAAUUAAUCCUCUGGGAGUGAGGCUGACCUAAUUACUCAGAAAUACUGGGCUUGCUUUCAUUCUGUGGAAUACAGCCAUGAGAAAGAGGCCAGCAUGCCAUUUCCUAAUCUUUUCUUGAAUUGCCUGAAACUCACCUAACAUGAAACUGAGAAGCCUUUUCAUUUGAAAGUGGUAUUUCUUAUGUUUUUUAUCUUUUUGCUUGAAAGUAUUCUUAAACUAAAGAAAGGAGAAACAGAAAAGGUGAAGAAGCCAAGAGGCUGGAGUUUCCUUUUGAAUGGAUAUUCAUCCAUGAAGCUGUUGAUUCUGUUUUUCUGUUCCUCCAGAUGUCUACACUUUUACCUCUGCUUGCCUGAUACAACCACCACCAGUCACCUCACAGAAUAACUCACUCCUUAAGAAUCUGAUCAGGAAUCAGCCUUCCCUGAUCACAAACACUGAGUUUAGAAGUCCCUCCACAGUGUCCCCCGUAACCCUGUGCUACCUCACUGCCUCAUAGUUUAGUGCCGUUUGUGUACAUGCCUAUCUUCGUCCAUGGAUCCAGAACAACUUGUAAAAAUGACUGUACUUAUCACCUUCAGUAUUCAAUGACUAAACUAUAAUUUUAACAUAUCUGGCAGAAUGAAUCACUUGGGGAUUUCUGCCAACACUACCAAUAUAUUACUCCUAAUUUGUAAUUAUUACUUAGCAUGGAUUAUAGUACCGGCUGUUGGAGAGCCAAUGUGGCAGACCCUAAGUGGAAUAAAAUGUCAGUAGCAGUCUAGGAGCAUAUAUUUAUUGGAAUAGAUCAUUCAUUCAUUUGUUCAUUAACUAAUUUGUUCAUUAAAUAAACAUUUAUUAAGCACUCAUGGUUUAGGACGC
rnacentral:lncRNA from 1 species